CAGUAAGAUCAACCGCCUGCACGUCAAUCUCUUCAUGUCCCUGACCUUGAAAGCCAUCGUGACCUUUCUCAAGGAGUAUCUCUUUGUGAAGGGUCUGGGUUUCUCUAUUGACAUCACCUAUAGCAGUAGCGGGGCUCUUAUCUUUAUAGAGGAAGGCACACACUGGCAGUGCAAGCUGUUCAUCACUAUCUGGAUGUACAGUAUCGCCACAGUGUACACUUGGAUCCUAGUGGAAGGUUUCUAUUUGACCAAUCUCGUCCACCGCACUUUAUCCACCGACAGAAGAGGAAUCAGAUAUUACAUCCUUUUUGGCUGGACUUUUCCGUUGGUUUAUCUUAUACCCUGGAUCCUGGUAAGGAUUUUCCUGGAUGAUUUACAUUGCUGGACAACAUAUCAACAGAGAAUAUUCUAUUGGCUAUUUAAUGGGCCAAUAUUCGCCUC